rnacentral:lncRNA from 13 species
ACACUAAAUACAAAAGAAGAAGAGAAUAAAUGAAAACCGAAACAGUCCCGUAUGGUGAAAACACUGAAACGGAAAACAACUACCCACAACCCAUAGUGGGAAAACAGGCUGCCUAAGUAUGGUUCUCAAUCAGAGACAACGAUUGACAGCUGCCUCUGAUUGGGAACCAUACCAGGCCAAACACCUAGAAAUAUAACACACAGAACCAAAACAUAGAAUGCCCACCCCAACUCACGCCCUGACCAAACUAAAAUAGAGACAUAAAAAGGUCAGGACGUGACAGGGUAUGAGUUGUGUUGUAGAGUGUGGUUAGGGGGUGUUGCAAUGGUUCUGCUUUGCCCUGAGGGUGCAUUUCAAAACAUCCUACCUCAAUGGUAGAAGUUUCAAAGUUGACUAAUUAUGGCACAAGCUGUGAGGCUACAUGGUAACGGAAAAGCAAAAAUCUUGACAGAUUCACUCCUUCACAAAAGAGAGUCCUUUUAGAUUUAAAGGACUCACAAAAGAUGGAGACUUCACAGAGGUCUCCCGUUCUGUCAUCCUGUCUGAUCUCAAUAAUAGUUGUGCUGAAUAUCAUCCUGUGGAUGUUUCUAAUGUCAGCAGUGGGAUUAGGGGCUAUGCACCUUCAUGACUGCCCCUUACAGCCUUAUAUCCCCAUCUACCUGCUGGUGAUCGGGCUGACGUCCAUCGCCUCCCUGCUCCUAGCCUACCUCAAUAACACACUGGAGACUGGCUUCCUGAGCCUACUGUGUUCCUCCUGCAUCUUCCUCCUCCAACUCUUCAACCUCGGCUGGUUCAUCACAGGUAAGCAAGAGGGAUGA